rnacentral:lncRNA from 1 species
ACCAGAGUGGAGGCUUGAAUGGCUUCCAUAAGGCUCAUAUAUUUGAGUGUCGGUCUUUGCAGCUGUAAUACCACCUUUGAUAUUACUACCAAGGUGGGUCACUGUGAUGGUUUGAAUAUUCUUGGCCAGGAAGUGGCAGUAUUAGGAGGUUUUGUUGGUAUAGUUGUGGCCUUGUUGGAGGAAGUGUGUCACUGUGGGAGUGGGCAAUGAGGCCCUGCUCCGAGCUGCCUGGACACAGUCUGCUCCUGGCUUCCUUUGGAUGAAGAUGCGGAACUUCUCCAGCACCAUGCCAGCCUGGACACCUCCAUGCUGCCCACCAUGAUGAUAAUAGACUGAACCUAAGAACCCAUAAGCCAGCCCCAACUAAAUGUUGUGUUUUGUAAGAGUUGCCUUGGUUAUGGUGUCUCUUCACAGCAAUGGAAACCCUAACUAAGACACUGUACUACUGGAUGUGACAAGCAAGACCUCCCUUAGAUAAAGUCUUCUUAUCAUCUCGGUCUCCAGGAGGUACCACUGGACAUAGAAAGCAAAUGGAGAGACAUGGCAAGGAGAAAGGAUGUCAGUACUGAAGCUACUGCUAAGAGCCAAGAAAGGGGCUGGAAAGAGGACUCAGCUGUCAAGAACACUUGCUUCCUUCCAGACAACUCAGGUUCAACUCCCAGAAUCUUCGUAGGGGCUCACAACUGUGUGAACCUCCAGUCCCAGGGGGGAAUCUGAAACCUCUUCUGGUCUGUGCAAGCACCAGGCACAAAAGUGGUACACAGAUACACACAGAAGCUAAACACCCAUACACAUAAAAUAAAAAUGUAAAAAGGAUGAA